CUGGUUCAGUAUGGAUAAGGCCCUGAUACCAGAUGUCUCAAGACUCUAGAAGAAUGAAAUAUGAAAAGCUUUGAGAAGACCAUUUAAUCUCUCUGAGAUGCAUCCCUAAAUAAGUGGUACUUCCUAUUAUUUUCUACUGUCAUCAUCUGUAAGAAUUUGCAAAUGUUCACCACUGUUAUGAAGAAGAUUCAGAUAUUGGGCCUGGAAUCAGGAAGACCUAAGUUCAAAUCCAGACUUACAUAUGUACUAGCCAUG